CCGGAGGUGCUCGGCGCGCGCCAGCCACGUCCACACGCGGCCGCAUCCGUCUCCGCGGGCGGAGCGAGGCCUCCCGGAGGCAGCGUCAGAGCGCGCAGGCCUGGAGGGCGCGAGGCCAGCAGAAACCACGCAGAUCACCCCCAAAGUCCCGGAGGGGCAGGGCCCCGGACCAGGGUUCCUGAGCAAGGCCGAGGGGCCAGGAGGGGGAUGGCGGAGGCUGGGGCGCGCCGCGGUCCUUCCUGGGGGAAAACAGGGUCGGGAGAGGGGCCCUAGGGCUCCGGAGCGCCGGCCACAGCCAAGGGCCCCAUACGCGCGGCUCUGCCGGGCCAGGCCAGGGCGAAACCAGGGCCGUGAGCCCGGAGAGCCUGGAGUCUGGGGGUCAGAAGGCAGGACCUCCGCGGCCAGCAGGGACAGAGUGACGAGGCCUGGGUGGGAGGAGCAGGAGGGGACGGAGCUCCCGCAGAGCACGGGCAGCCCCCGCCAUCGGCGCCCACCGGGAGGAGAGGCGGCCGCGGGGGCGCCAGAGUGGGCGCCGGCACCACGUCCCACCCGCGCAUCGCGGAGCCCCGGGAGCUCCCGGACGCGGCCCGCAGGAGGGCGUCGGCAGCGCGCACUGGCCGGGGCGCCCACACCCUGCCCGACUCGCCCGUGGCCUCGGGCCGCCCCCCGCUUCGGAGCAGUCGCUGCCUCAUCCCCAGCCCGGCCCGUUCGUUCCCUUCAGGGCCCACGCAGAGCACGAGCGGGCCGGGCAGAGGGUGGACAGAGGGCCGGGCGCUCCCCUCCGGUGGACGGAGUGCCCGGUGCGGAGCGCGCGGCGGCCGGCGGCGGGGAGCAGGUACCCGGUCGGGGCCGGGGGGUGACUGAGCCCUUCUCACGGCGGCCUCGCGGAUCCAGGGCCCGGCCCGGGCGCCGCGUCCGCAGCCUGGAGGUCUGGGGUCAGCGGAGGCGCCCGCAGGAGGGAAGCCCGCCACGCAGGUGCGCCGGGCCCGGGCCGGUGAGGCUGGAGGCCGGGUCCCUCCGAGCGGGGCGAGCUCGGGCCUGGGGCUGCCCCUGACAGUCGCCCCGCGCCCCGCGCCCCCCUCGGUAGAUCAAGAGCUUUGGAAAUCUGC
rnacentral:lncRNA from 13 species